UAGGGUGCGAGCGUUGUCCGGAAUUAUUGGGCGUAAAGAGCUCGUAGGCGGUCUGUCGCGUCGGUCGUGAAAACUUGGGGCUUAACCCUGAGCUUGCGGUCGAUACGGGCAUGACUGGAGUUCGGCAGGGGAGACUGGAAUUCCUGGUGUAGCGGUGAAAUGCGCAGAUAUCAGGAGGAACACCGGUGGCGAAGGCGGGUCUCUGGGCCGAUACUGACGCUGAGGCGCGAAAGCUAGGGUAGCAAACGGG
rnacentral:rRNA from 1 species